rnacentral:rRNA from 1 species
CGACGGGUGAGUAACGCGUGGAUAACCUGCCUUUCACAGGGGGAUAACAGCUGGAAACGGCUGCUAAUACCGCAUGAGCCUCUUUUGUCGCAUGAGAAGAGAGGGAAAGAGAAAUCGGUGAGAGAUGGAUCCGCGUCCGAUUAGCUAGUUGGAGGGGUAACAGCCCACCAAGGCGACGAUCGGUAGCCGACCUGAGAGGGUGGACGGCCACAUUGGGACUGAGACACGGCCCAAACUCCUACGGGAGGCAGCAG